CAUAAGUGUUUUAUCUUUGUACCAAACCUCUACACGCCUUACCAAUACUUAGUGAUUAUACCUACCAAAACACUACAUUUUGUUUAUAUCUACCUACUAAUUUUAAAUUUAUGUUGCUCACAUUCAAAUUAUAAUAUAAGUUGCAAUAUUCAGCGUAAUCAUAAUAGUGCACACCACCCACGCUUCAUUAUGAAGGGAAAUUUCAAGUAUGUGUGCCGCUAUUUUUCUAGAAGUUCUAUAGAUAUUACACCCGAAGUUAAAAACGCUCUGAAUAACCGAAAACCAGUAAUUGCAUUGGAAUCAGCUCUUAUUACACAUGGAUUACCAUAUCCAAAAAAUGUAGAGACUGCUUUAGAAAUGGAACACAUCAUAAAAUCACAUAAUAUUAUUCCAGCUACAAUUGGUAUAAUUAAUGGCAGAGUUAAGGCCGGUAUGUGUCCAGAACAGAUUAAUGUUCUUGGCAUGCCAGCUGAGAAAAAAACAAUCAAAGUUUCUCGAAGAGAUUUUCCUUUUGUGCUCAGCCAAGGUUUAAAUGGGGGAACUACAGUAUCCGGCACAUUGGUUAUUGCUAAUGCUUUGGGCUUAAAAUUCUUUAUUACUGGUGGAAUUGGUGGAGUUCAUAUAGAUGGUCAAAAUUCCUUAGAUAUAAGUGCUGAUUUAUUUGAGUUGUCCAGAUGUGCAAUAAUGGUAGUAUCUGCUGGUAUAAAAUCUAUACUUGAUAUAGGAAGAACUUUGGAAUAUCUAGAAACUGUGGGUGUUUGCGUUGCUUCAUAUGAUUCAAAUGGGGAAUUUCCUGCAUUUUAUACUAAAUUAAGCGGAUAUCAGUCUGUAUGUAAUGUAACUUCACCCUAUGAAGCAGCUGGCCUGUUAGAACAAUGUCAAAAUACGGGAUCUGGUGUUUUGUUAGCCGUUCCAAUACUAGAAGAGAAAAUAAAAAAAACAGAAAUUGACAAAGCAAUAGAAAAUGCUCGUCAGAUGUGUGAAAAACAAGGAAUAGUGGGAAAAAAUAUUACUCCUUUUGUUCUGAGUGAAGUUAGUCGACUGACAAAAGGACUUUCUAUGGAAACUAACAUUUCUUUAUUGAAGAAUAAUUCUUUGAUUGGAAGUAAAAUUGCAUUGGAGUAUUAUUCAAAAUUGUCUUCUACUUCAAAAUCAAUUUUUGAAGUAAAAAAGAGUCUAAAAAAAUCAAGAAAUUCUCCUGUAGUAAUUGGUGGUAGUAAUGUUGACUAUGUGCUUCAAGUUGAUGAAGAUUUAAAGUUGGACGGUCGUAUGUUGGCGGGUCAAAUGAAACGCGUCAGCGGCGGGGUCGGAAGAAAUAUAGCGGACGCUUUGGGCCGGUUCGGACACGAUGUCUGUUUCUUGUCCGCUGUCGGAGACGACUCGAACGGCGAUGCGAUAAUCAAAUCGCUCGACCACAUAAACACAGACAAGAUCGUCGUUGCCGGCGAUCAGACGACGUCUUGGUGCGUGGUGUUCCAGGACCGGCAUGGCGAUUGCAUGGCCUGCAUCGGCGACAUGGAAUGCCACAAACGCAUAUCUAUUGACUUGAUCAAGAAAAACAUUGAUUCGUUGUAUCAGAGUCCGCUUGUGGUUAUCGAUGGUAAUGUUUGUCCGGAGACAAUGGAAUUUGUAAUUGGAUUUUGUAACGAGGAAAACAUACCAGUAUACUUUGAAACAACUGACAUUGCUGUGGCUUCCAAGCCAUUCUAUUCGGAUAUGUGGAAAGCGCUUUCCUUUAUGUCUCCAAACUUAAAAGAGCUACAAGAAAUAUCAAAAAAACUUCCAGCUGAAGUGCGUGUAAAUUACGCCAUUAAAGUUUCCAUUAACGGCAGCGACGAAUUCGACACACGAGAUCGCAUAAUGAAUAGUUCAAAAGACAUCGUUUGUAAGCUAAUAUCUCACAUUCCCGUCAUUAUGGUAACGCUUGGCGACAAAGGGCUGUUGUUGGCCUCGAGACAAUCCGAUGACACGGUUUCGUUAAUACAUUAUCCAGCGCAAAAAAUAGAAACGCCUGUCAGUGCUUCUGGAGCCGGUGAUUGGUGCGCGGGACAAUAAUAUGCGAUCCCGUGCGUAUGAUGGCAACUGCAACGUCUGCAACGAUUUCAACGAGAAAAAAAAAGGAAGAAGAAAGAGCAUUGACAACAAAUGUUUUCAAUAACAAUUUUAAAGUCUGUGCGCUGGAUACAUAUCCGGAGUGUUACAAGGAAAAUCACAAGAUGAAUGUGUUGCUAUGGGACUGAAAGCAGCAACAUCAGCACUUUUGUCGCAUAGGCCAGUUCCCAUAGAACUGAAUGUCAAUU